AGCUGUCCGCAUGUGAGGUCUCAGCAUCCUUAUCCUCUCCUCAUUCCGUGGAUCAGCAUUUCAUAUCCUCCCGAGCUUCACGGCGUCAAAAUGCAUCUUCCCCUGCAUCCCAAAACAGAGUGUUAUCUUCCCCGCGUCCGCGAUUCAAGGAUCAGCCCCAAGGUCCUUCAUUCCGUUUUCUUCCAAGCAUCCCACCGUUCAUAAGGAUAAACGUCAUCCCCUGCUUCAGUGGAACAGAAUCUGAAUCUUCCCAUCGCGAGCUUCAC
rnacentral:lncRNA from 1 species